GCCCCUUUCUCACCCAAAUUAGGGUUUCAGAAUUGGGAUUUGGAAGGCUUUCUUAUGCCUCCUCUGCCUGCGCCGUGAAGUGUAUUGCUGCCAAUUGCCAUGGAGAUCUUUGUGCGGGAGAGAAAAAUUUCUCCUUGGUUGCGUUUUGAUUUUUGCAGGGUUCCUCUGCCGUUUCUGGUUUUUCUGCGUUUUAGGUUGCAAGACAGUGGAGAUCGAAUCACGAUUGGUGGCAGCCUAGCGAGUAGCUCACAAAGAGGCGCUGGUGUGUUUGGGUGGUCUCUGCAGCGGCAUUGACGAGGUGGUCAAGUGAAGAUGCUUCACAGUGGCGGUUGAUUUGGGAAUUUUCGCAGAUUCAACUUUUUUUGUCAAUUUUGCAUCAGUUCACAUACAUCUUUUUUAUGGUUUUUGAUUUGGGAAUUUUCGCAGGUUCUAAUUUUGUCUCGCAGUGGUGAAAAUGUUGGGCAAACUUGCGAAUUGGUUCCUGCAAUUUGCAGUUCUGUCUACGGUGGCUGCCAUGGAAGCGUGAUUUGGUUACCGGAGAAGAUGAAGGAUGACAUUCCAAGAGCAAUGUUUGGUGCUGCUAGUGCUUUUGGACCUUUCCAUGUGUUCUAUGAAAUGAGAUGACCA